AUUAAAUAGCUCCAGAUGCUGAGUGAAAAGGAUAUUUUAAAUCAGAAAGACACUUUUCUGCAUUGGGCCACAUGAACCCCAAAACCAGGCUUGGCCAGGAAGAUGUGGAGCUUCUGUCCUUUUAAAAUCACCCGGGUAGAGAAAGAGACAACAUGGGCGUUACGGAGGCUUCAGGCUCCCUGGCGAGAGGCACAGAAGGAAGCCCUGUCGGGUCAGGUCAAGCUGGGAGUGCACUCUGUGUGCGUGCCUACCAACAAAGCCCCAAAUACCUGGGAUCGCCCAACGACAGUGGCUGGAGUAAGAGAUGGGAGCAGGAAGACUUGAAAUGGUGCAGAAGAUACAACCCCAUCCGUCAGGAGUGAAAACAAAGAAGAGGAUGGCAUGACUUGGCUUUAGUGUUGACAGCAGGUAUUACAUAACAUCUCUUUGUAGAAGAAGAGGGUAGAUCUUGGACGUCAAUUAUCCUUCCUACUUUUUGAGGAACUAUGUAUUUCUGUAGAAUUAAGAAAUACGGUCCCCAAACGCCCACCUAGCUUGUUGUACCAAAUUACAAUUAGAGACAGCAUGACCUAACUGAAAGAGACCCAGCCAAGACCUUGGAUAAAUAGCUUAGUUUCCCUGGGGAAGCAGGGGAAGGAGGUGUGGGGUAAAUUCCUGCUUCUACUACUACCUAUGACCACAAGUAUCUUUUCUUACUCGUUUCUAGUGGGUUUUUUUUUUUUUUUUUUCUUGGAGGGGAAGGGAAAUUUCUCAAAUAACCCAUGUAAAAAAUAUUUUGUAAACUAGGAAGGAUUAUUAUCACUUGGGCAUUAUUACUAAAGUCUACUUUUCUAAAAUACUCUAUCAUAAUCAAAAUAGUUCAGUCAAGUCAAAUCACCAGACCUAGAGCAUAAACUUUGCGCCACGCCCUGUGCAAUGCAUGAUGGAUUCAAAGAUGCACAAAGGGGAAAGGCACAAGGAGUUACAUUUACUCUGAAGGAUCACUCAUGGUACUACUGUCAUAGCAAGAAAAAAUGGUGGCAUCAACGCUUUGCCAGAGGGACAUUUUCAGAAACAAGUGUGUUACAAAUAUUGAAAUAUUGAAAUCCAGGGGUCAAACCAAUUGAAAUAGACAACCUCUUAUGCCAUUCUCUAAUUUACCAAAUCCAGUUUGUUUAAUAGGGGGUAAAGGCUGGCAAUGACACUCCUAAAUUCUGGAGCACUUCUCCUUUCAAAAUGAUUUUAAAACAAUUAAAUAGAUACUGACAAGACUCCCGGCAGCAAGAACUACUGAAUAUGAUCAGGAGUGAGGAGACCCUUGGUCAUUUAUACAUUCAGGCUAUUU
rnacentral:lncRNA from 1 species